rnacentral:rRNA from 1 species
UACGUAGGUGGCGAGCGUUGUCCGGAUUUACUGGGCGUAAAGCGCACGUAGGCGGAUAUUUAAGUCAGGGGUGAAAUCCCAGAGCUCAACUCUGGAACUGCCUUUGAUACUGGGUAUCUUGAGUAUGGAAGAGGUGAGUGGAAUUCCGAGUGUAGAGGUGAAAUUCGUAGAUAUUCGGAGGAACACCAGUGGCGAAGGCGGCUCACUGGUCCAUUACUGACGCUGAGGUGCGAAAGCGUGGGGAGCAAACAGG